rnacentral:rRNA from 1 species
AACGAGCGCUGGCGGCAUGCCUAACACAUGCAAGUCGAACGAGACCUUCGGGUCUAGUGGCGCACGGGUGCGUAACGCGUGGGAACCUGCCCUUAGGUUCGGAAUAACUCCCCGAAAGGGGUGCUAAUACCGGAUAAUGUCUUCGGACCAAAGAUUUAUCGCCUUUGGAUGGGCCCGCGUUGGAUUAGCUAGUUGGUAGGGUAAAAGCCUGCCAAGGCGACGAUCCAUAGCUGGUCUGAGAGGAUGAUCAGCCACACUGGGACUGAGACACGGCCCAGACUCCUACGGGAGGCAGCAGUGGGGAAUAUUGGACAAUGGGCGAAAGCCUGAUCCAGCAAUGCCGCGUGAGUGAUGAAGGCCUUAGGGUUGUAAAGCUCUUUUACCCGGGAUGAUAAUGACAGUACCGGGAGAAUAAGCUCCGGCUAACUCCGUG